rnacentral:lncRNA from 1 species
GUGUGAUAGAAAGGCGUGCUGUCAGUGUGGAGGACAAGAUGCGUUUAUUUGUUAAGUCUGUCUUUUAAUGAAACUGUCUUAUCAGAUCAGUUAAUUCAGUGCAAGUGGUUUGCCACUCUUAGCUCAAGCUUGAGGUGUCGUCUCCUCUGCACUUUGGAUAUAUGUUGUGGUCUUAAAUAGGAAGGUCAUGGUUUAUGUUAAGUUUAGUUUAAUUUACAACUUAUCUUUUUGGGUGAUGAAGGAGACUUCUUUGAAGGUUUAACAACUGGGGCAAACCAAAUAAGCUACUUAACUACAAGCAUAUUCUUAAGUCAGUUCUGGUUAUCGGAGAGAACUUCUUUCCUGGUCUUUCUUCUAGCCUGACUUAGGUUAUUGUAAAGUUAGAAACUUUAUAAUGAGUGAAGACUUCUGAAUUCUAAGCACAAGUAUAUAAGUUACCCUUGGGUACACUUUGCAUGUCUUCACAAACCUCAGGUGAUUUUAGCCAUUGGCUUGAAAUUCUGAUUGAGCUAUUUGACUUGACUUCAUUUAAAAGUUUUCUUUCUUUUUAUGAAUGAGGAAAACGUAUUCAGGACAUUUCAUUCUUGAAGGCGGCCUCUGUGAUGUAGAAAGGAAAAAAUCCUGGUGGUGUUGAGUGAUUCAUGCUGAAUUAUAUUGUUUAACUCUUGUAAUGGAUUUGUAGCACUUUGGUUUUUUUGCUUAUUGAUUUGAGAAAAGUUAUAUUACUGUAAUAGUAUAUAGAGAUUUUUUUCACUUUAAUAUUUAAUAUUAUUAGUACUUUGGUAGACUAUGGUUUCAUUUGUUAGAAACAACUUUUUCAGAAAAAUGUCUAAUGGGUUAAGUUAGAUUUACAUUGAGCUUUCUAUGGUAUUCUACUUACUCUUUACCUACUGUUAAAAACAUAAAGUAUGUAAAAUAUAGAGUAGCUGUUUAUUGGACUAGCCUGUCCUUUCUAGUCACAACCAGAAAAUUAGC